UACGGAGGGUGCGAGCGUUGUUCGGAAUCACUGGGCGUAAAGCGCGUGUAGGCGGCCCACUAAGUCUGAUGUGAAAGUCCAGGGCUCAACCCUGGGAUGCCGGUGGAUACUGUCGGGCUCGAGUCCGGAAGAGGCGAGUGGAAUUCCUGGUGUAGCGGUGAAAUGCGCAGAUAUCAGGAGGAACACCAAUGGCGAAGGCAGCUCGCUGGGACGUGACUGACGCUGAGACGCGAAAGCGUGGGGAGCAAACAGG
rnacentral:rRNA from 1 species